CCUACGGGAGGCAGCAGUGAGGAAUAUUGGUCAAUGGAGGCAACUCUGAACCAGCCAUGCCGCGUGAAGGAUGACGGCCCUAUGGGUUGUAAACUUCUUUUAUAUGGGAAGAAACUUAUCUACGUGUAGAUAACUGACGGUACCAUACGAAUAAGGAUCGGCUAAUUCCGUGCCAGCAGCCGCGGUAAUACGGGAGUGGCAAGCGUUAUCCGGAAUUAUUGGGCGUAAAGCGUCCGCAGGCGGCCCUUCAAGUCUGCUGUUAAAAAGUGGAGCUUAACUCCAUCAUGGCAGUGGAAACUGUUGGGCUUGAGUGUGGUAGGGGCAGAGGGAAUUCCCGGUGUAGCGGUGAAAUGCGUAGAUAUCGGGAAGAACACCAGUGGCGAAGGCGCUCUGCUGGGCCAUCACUGACGCUCAUGGACGAAAGCCAGGGGAGCGAAAGGGAUUAGAUACCCCUGUAGUCCUGGCCGUAAACGAUGAACACUAGGUGUCGGGGGAAUCGACCCCUCCGGUGUCGUAGCCAACGCGUUAAGUGUUCCGCCUGGGGAGUACGCACGCAAGUGUGAAACUCAAAGGAAUUGACGG
rnacentral:rRNA from 1 species